UACGGGGGGGGCAAGCGUUGUUCGGAAUUACUGGGCGUAAAGGGCUCGUAGGCGGCCAACUAAGUCCGACGUGAAAUCCCCAGGCUUAACCUGGGAACUGCGUCGGAUACUGGAUGGCUUGAAUCCGGGGGAGGGAUGCGGAAUUCCAGGUGUAGCGGUGAAAUGCGUAGAUAUCUGGAGGAACACCGGUGGCGAAGGCGGCAUCCUGGACCAACACUGACGCUGAGUGAGCGAAAGCCAGGGGAGCAAACGGG
rnacentral:rRNA from 1 species